rnacentral:tRNA from 1 species
UUAAUUGAAACCAAAAUAUAGGUAUAUCACUGUUAAUGAUAUUAUUGAAUUAAUUAAAAUUCCAAUUAAA